UACGUAGGGUGCGAGCGUUAAUCGGAAUUACUGGGCGUAAAGCGUGCGCAGGCGGUUAUGUAAGACAGGUGUGAAAUCCCCGGGCUUAACCUGGGAACUGCAUUUGUGACUGCAUAGCUAGAGUACGGUAGAGGGGGAUGGAAUUCCGCGUGUAGCAGUGAAAUGCGUAGAUAUGCGGAGGAACACCGAUGGCGAAGGCAAUCCCCUGGACCUGUACUGACGCUCAUGCACGAAAGCG
rnacentral:rRNA from 1 species